rnacentral:rRNA from 1 species
GAUGAACGCUGGCGGCGUGCCUAAUACAUGCCAGUCGAGCGAACGGACGAGAAGCUUGCUUCUCUGAUGUUAGCGGCGGACGGGUGAGUAACACGUGGAUAACCUACCUAUAAGACUGGGAUAACUUCGGGAAACCGGAGCUAAUACCGGAUAAUAUUUUGAACCGCAUGGUUCAAAAGUGAAAGACGGUCUUUCUGUCACUUAUAGAUGGAUCCGCGCUUCAUUAGCUAGUUGGUAAGGUAACGGCUUACCAAGGCAACGAUGGAUAGCCGACCUGAGAGGGUGAUCGGCUACACUGGAACUGAGACACGGUCCAGACUCCUACGGUAGGCAGCAGUAGGGAAUCUUACGCAAUGGGCGAAAGCCUGACAGAGCAACGCCGCGUGAGUGAUGAAGGUCUUCGGAUCGGAAAACUCUGUUAUUAGGGAAAAACAUAUGUGUAAUUAACUGUGCAGAUCUUGACGGUACCUAAUCAGAAAGCAACGGCUAACUACGUG